rnacentral:lncRNA from 1 species
UAUUAGAAUUACAGGCAAUCCUAUUGGAAUUAUUACAUGUGGUUAAUCCAGUCUCUAAUCUAGUCGGUAAUGUAGCAUUACAAUAAUGCAAUAUUACUCUAAGGGCGCGUUUGGUUCGAGUUAUGUAAUAUUACAGAGUAUUUCAAUAUAUCCAGGUAUCUUGGAUUUCUAAAUGAGAUUACUAUUCAUGCUGCAUUAGUGCGUUUGGUUUAAUACAGUAAUGUAUUGCUGGAUUGCAGCGUUUAUAGCGUUACUACUUUGCUUCUGUCUAUAAAAUUUACUAAUCUAGACAAUAAAAUAUAAUCUAUUCCAAAAUUGCCCUUAGUCAUAUUUCGUAAAAUUUUUUUUACUGUUUACAAACAAUAUUUUUUUACCAAAUUUUAUUUUAAAUUAACUUAAUUUUUUAAAUUUUAAAUUUUAAAUUUUAAAUUUUUACAACAAUUUAAAUUUAAUAUUUUAAUUUAAAAUAUGGAAUUUCUAAAUUUAAAAUCUAAAAUUUAAAUAUAAAUAUAUAUAAAAUAAAAAAUUAAAAUCUAAAUUUAAAAUUCAGAAUUUAAAAUACAAAUUUGUGUUUUAAAAUUUGAAAUUUGAAAUUUGAAAUUUAAAAUUUGAAAUUUCAAACUUAUAAUUUAAAAUCUAAACUUUUAAUUUAAACUUAAAAUUUAAAAUUUAAAAUUUUAAACUUAUAAUUUAAAAUCUAAAAUUUUAAUUUAAAUUUAAAAUUUAAAAUUUAAAUUUGAAGUUUAAAAAUUUUAAAUUUUAAAUUUAAAAAUUCAAAUUUAAAAAUUAAAAAUUAAAAGUUGACAAUUCAAAAUUUUAAAUUAAAUUUUUUAAAAUAAUAUAUUGAAAGGGUUUCGAGAGUUAGAGGGUAAAAUUUUCAUUUUACAUAAUAUGUAGUAUUACCGGUUUUCAGUAAUGCAAGAUACACGACCCCCUUCUCGUUAAUAUUUUCGGUGUAAUCCUGCUCGAUUUGUAAUGCUAUAUUAACGGUUGGAUUACAUAGCGGAUGAACCAAACACAGUAAUCCUGACAGGAUUGUCUGUAAUCCUGCCAGGAUAACUCGAACCAAACGCACUCUAAAAAUAUUAUCAAGGAGUGGGUAUCUCGUAUUAUUGAUAAGCAAGUAAUCUUGCAUAUUAUUAUAUAAAAUUAUAAUUUUACCCCUUCAAACCCUCCCAAACUCUUUUAAUGUGUUAUUUUUAGCGCUCUCUCUCUCUCUCUCUCUCUCUCUCUCUCUAUUUGCACGAAUCCUAAUAAAUGAGUUUCUAAAUUAAAAUCUAUUUAUUUUUUAAUUAUUGUAUAUUUAUAUAAUAUAUUUUUUUAAAUUUAUUCUUAUAUUAGUUGAAAUUAAUUUUUAGCUUUAUAUGUGUCUUUUUAUUUAUAUUGCUUAUUAAUAUAAUUAAUUUAAGUGCAAAUUAUAUUAAGUUAUUGUUUAGUAAAAAGAAUAUUAAAUAUGAUCACAAAGAUAAUUUUGGAAUAGAAUAAUAAUUUACUGUCAGGAUUACUGAAUUUUAUAAAUUAAAUUAAAUAUAGUAAUUCAAUAUAAACUAUAAUGCAAUAUCAGUAGUAAUCUGAUUCAGAAUUUUUGAUUAUUUCAAAAUAAAGGAUAUCGCGCCUUAGACAGAGACCUCCAAAGUAUAGUUCAUUCCUGUAUGUCAUCUUUUGUUAUGAUGAAUAGAGUUGUAUAAAUGUGAUGUAUUUUGGGAUAAUCAUGUGAUAGAUGAUGUAUAGAGAAGAAAACAAGAGAAUGUAAUUAUUGUAUGCAUGUAUGUGAUCAAAGGUGUUCACAAUACUUGUAUGGAUGCAAUAGAUUAGAACUUUCACUUUUGAUGUUGCUUGCCCUCGUGCAAGCCAUAUAUAUCAUUAUUUUCGCUGUGUAAAAUAUAUACAUGUUGUAAUUGUUGAGCCUUGGGCGGACAGGGAAGAUGCUGUCCGUUCAGCGUCUGUCGGCGUGCCCGAACCGACCUAAUAAGCGGGCUCGGGGCAUGACAAUAAUUAAACGGAUGAAAAUGAUAAAAGAGAUAAUCUAACGGCAGAAAACUUGAUAGCACCAAAUGUUUCGUGCUAUCGAUAGUGUCACGCCCCCGACCGCACUCCCCGAAGAUGGUACCGAUUUGGUCCGGUUCGAGGGCGGCGGGCGUGAGGCCGAACGGACAGAGUCGUCCCUGUCCCCCCUAGGCUAACCAAUAAGAUUGUACACAACAAGUUCUCAGGAAAACAACUUGACUACGUACACAAUCAUUCAACGAAAACAAGAGGAGAA